UUCUCGGUUACCCAGCACAGUGAGGGAGCUGAAGAGACUCUGACAGAAAUGCCAGGCCUGGGAGAAGCUGCAGGAUGUGUUCACGAGCUGAUAAGCUGUGUCUGAGUCCAGUCCUCAUUCCAGAAUCAUAUCCAUCCAGGACCAUAUCCGUUACAUCCAACCUGCCCUGCUACUGUCCACCGUGUCCAGCACUCUAGUGUGUGUGGAGGGAAAAGAUCUGCAUGAGAGAACUGUACUGGGCACCGAACUGAUCCCUUAUAAACACUGCAGUCAGGAGCUCAGCGUUUUGCUCAGGACUGUAUGAGCGCAUGGGUUGACUCAGAAGGCAUUCAGUGGCAGAUCUGUCUCAUUACAAACAACCCAAAUCAAACACCCGCCGCAACACUGGCUCCAACACACCGGGAGUGAUGGACAGUGGGCUUUGAUGCCAGCAGGAGUGUGUGUGAGGUCGAGGAGGGAGCACGGACUGAGUGAGAGAUAAAGAGGCAGAUUGUAAAGGCAGAAGACUGAAAUGAAGAGAAUGAAAGGAUGAGAGAGAAGAGAGGUGAGGAGAGAUUGACGGAGGGGUCAGUCGUCCUCAUAGCAGGGGUCAGUCACAGGUGAGUGUUGAGGUUCGGCUGUGUCCCAAUUCCACUGAUUGGCUGCUUCUUCGCAAGAGGCACAACUGGACAACAGUGCAGCAUAGCAAGGCAAAGUUCUGACCUACUGACCUCUUGUUCUUUGUUUUUUCUCUCUCUGGUACCAAUCUUAUUCAAAAACACACAUUUAAACACCUUCUAAAGUUCAUUUUUAUCUAUAGACAGUGGACCACCCACUUUUGGGGCUUUGUCUCUAUUUUAGUGGGGUCAGAAAAGAGUAGCCAGUUGUUCUUAAUGCCAGUUGUAUUUUACGAUGUGGUUUAAGCUGUUAGACCACCAAUCGACCUUUCGCUUACAGCUUGCUCUGGGCUCCAGAAACAGACAGCUAGCAACUAAAAGCUAUAAUCGGCAAGUUAACCCUGUUAGGAACACAAGAAACUAUUGUACUGUAAAUCAAAUCAAUCAGGUCUAAACACUUCUUACAACUUUGAGUUGAAUAGGCGGGGCUGACCUUCUAUAAGCUAAAUAGGAACAUACUAUAUUUGUUUUAAUUGUGUGACAUUGCAAAAAAAGAUUAGUUUGAAACACAUCUUUACACAAAUUUAGUAUAUGUAUAUUAUUAUAUAUAGUAUUAAUAAUGCCAUCUCACAUGCAUUAUUGUAAUGUUUGCCUUUCAGGUAAGAAUGAAAUGUUGUGUUUUGCAUGACAUGGGCCCAUAAAAUGACAGUGAUGAUAUGGGCCCUUUAAAGGACUCAUACACUGAAAUGACAGAUCAGAGCUAUCAAUAUGUGGAUGACCAGUCAGCCCCACAUGAUCCACUGCAGCCUGUAGAGUGAGUCAUCAUUAUUAGUAAUAGCUGGAUCUGUAGGAUGACUGCAGCGCAUUGGGUUAUGUUUUACAGCCAUCUUGUUUUAGAGUCUGGACACAGCUGGUGGAAAUGAAUGGUUCAACACGUCCGCGGGCUGUCGUCACAUGUCAGCACGUCAACAUCGAAGCUCUGCACCCAAACAAGAAUCUUCGUCCACUUGUCAUCUCUGCUCCUUUUUUUUUUCUAUUUAAAUGUAUACCCGACAGGUGUAUUCUGGGCAGUGGGGCGAGCAGGGCCUCGCCAGCUAGGCUGCUGUUGCUAGGUGCUUGUAUACAACUCAGCAUUGGGUUAUUUCCAUCACGGAGUUAGCACCUAGCAAAGCUGGCUGAGACACAAAUAAAUAAGAUCGGGUUGCCAGGUCUUAGAUCUUGCCGCCACUUUGUAAAAUAAAGGAGAGUGGGAAAGGAGAAAGAGAGGCUGGUGGGUUUACUGUGAGCAUGUAAGGAUGUACAGAAUCCUCCAAUUUCUAAGCCAAAAACAGUAACUGGUAUACUAUACAUUUUAUUAUGGCCCAGGUCAGGGCAUUAUGGGGUGGAAGGGGCCCACACUAAGUUGACCUUA